GGAGAGGUGUCAGAGUGGUUAAAUGACCAGCUCUCGAAAAGCUUGGGGGUGUUAAAACCCACGUGAGUUCGAAUCUCACCCUCUCCGCCA
rnacentral:tRNA from 1 species